UACGAAGGGGGCUAGCGUUGCUCGGAAUUACUGGGCGUAAAGCGCAUGUAGGCGGCUUUCUAAGUCGGGGGUGAAAUCCUGGAGCUCAACUCCAGAACUGCCUUCGAUACUGGAGAGCUCGAGUCCGGGAGAGGUGAGUGGAACUGCGAGUGUAGAGGUGAAAUUCGUAGAUAUUCGCAAGAACACCAGUGGCGAAGGCGGCUCACUGGCCCGGUACUGACGCUGAGGUGCGAAAGCGUGGGGAGCAAACAGGG
rnacentral:rRNA from 1 species